rnacentral:rRNA from 1 species
UUAAGCGACUAAGCGUACACGGUGGAUGCCCUGGCAGUCAGAGGCGAUGAAGGACGUGCUAAUCUGCGAUAAGCGUCGGUAAGGUGAUAUGAACCGUUAUAACCGGCGAUUUCCGAAUGGGGAAACCCAGUGUGUUUCGACACACUAUCAUUAACUGAAUCCAUAGGUUAAUGAGGCGAACCGGGGGAACUGAAACAUCUAAGUACCCCGAGGAAAAGAAAUCAACCGAGAUUCCCCCAGUAGCGGCGAGCGAACGGGGAGCAGCCCAGAGCCUGAAUCAGUAUGUGUGUUAGUGGAAGCGUCUGGAAAGGCGCGCGAUACAGGGUGACAGCCCCGUACACAAAAAUGCACAUGCUGUGAGCUCGAUGAGUAGGGCGGGACACGUGGUAUCCUGUCUGAAUAUGGGGGGACCAUCCUCCAAGGCUAAAUACUCCUGACUGACCGAUAGUGAACCAGUACCGUGAGGGAAAGGCGAAAAGAACCCCGGCGAGGGGAGUGAAAAAGAACCUGAAACCGUGUACGUACAAGCAGUGGGAGCACGCUUAGGCGUGUGACUGCGUACCUUUUGUAUAAUGGGUCAGCGACUUAUAUUCUGUAGCAAGGUUAACCGAAUAGGGGAGCCGAAGGGAAACCGAGUCUUAACUGGGCGUUAAGUUGCAGGGUAUAGACCCGAAACCCGGUGAUCUAGCCAUGGGCAGGUUGAAGGUUGGGUAACACUAACUGGAGGACCGAACCGACUAAUGUUGAAAAAUUAGCGGAUGACUUGUGGCUGGGGGUGAAAGGCCAAUCAAACCGGGAGAUAGCUGGUUCUCCCCGAAAGCUAUUUAGGUAGCGCCUCGUGAAUUCAUCUCCGGGGGUAGAGCACUGUUUCGGCAAGGGGGUCAUCCCGACUUACCAACCCGAUGCAAACUGCGAAUACCGGAGAAUGUUAUCACGGGAGACACACGGCGGGUGCUAACGUCCGUCGUGAAGAGGGAAACAACCCAGACCGCCAGCUAAGGUCCCAAAGUCAUGGUUAAGUGGGAAACGAUGUGGGAAGGCCCAGACAGCCAGGAUGUUGGCUUAGAAGCAGCCAUCAUUUAAAGAAAGCGUAAUAGCUCACUGGUCGAGUCGGCCUGCGCGGAAGAUGUAACGGGGCUAAACCAUGCACCGAAGCUGCGGCAGCGACACUAUGUGUUGUUGGGUAGGGGAGCGUUCUGUAAGCCUGUGAAGGUGUGCUGUGAGGCAUGCUGGAGGUAUCAGAAGUGCGAAUGCUGACAUAAGUAACGAUAAAGCGGGUGAAAAGCCCGCUCGCCGGAAGACCAAGGGUUCCUGUCCAACGUUAAUCGGGGCAGGGUGAGUCGACCCCUAAGGCGAGGCCGAAAGGCGUAGUCGAUGGGAAACAGGUUAAUAUUCCUGUACUUGGUGUUACUGCGAAGGGGGGACGGAGAAGGCUAUGUUGGCCGGGCGACGGUUGUCCCGGUUUAAGCGUGUAGGCUGGUUUUCCAGGCAAAUCCGGAAAAUCAAGGCUGAGGCGUGAUGACGAGGCACUACGGUGCUGAAGCAACAAAUGCCCUGCUUCCAGGAAAAGCCUCUAAGCAUCAGGUAACAUCAAAUCGUACCCCAAACCGACACAGGUGGUCAGGUAGAGAAUACCAAGGCGCUUGAGAGAACUCGGGUGAAGGAACUAGGCAAAAUGGUGCCGUAACUUCGGGAGAAGGCACGCUGAUAUGUAGGUGAAGUCCCUUGCGGAUGGAGCUGAAAUCAGUCGAAGAUACCAGCUGGCUGCAACUGUUUAUUAAAAACACAGCACUGUGCAAACACGAAAGUGGACGUAUACGGUGUGACGCCUGCCCGGUGCCGGAAGGUUAAUUGAUGGGGUCAGCGCAAGCGAAGCUCUUGAUCGAAGCCCCGGUAAACGGCGGCCGUAACUAUAACGGUCCUAAGGUAGCGAAAUUCCUUGUCGGGUAAGUUCCGACCUGCACGAAUGGCGUAAUGAUGGCCAGGCUGUCUCCACCCGAGACUCAGUGAAAUUGAACUCGCUGUGAAGAUGCAGUGUACCCGCGGCAAGACGGAAAGACCCCGUGAACCUUUACUAUAGCUUGACACUGAACAUUGAGCCUUGAUGUGUAGGAUAGGUGGGAGGCUUUGAAGUGUGGACGCCAGUCUGCAUGGAGCCGACCUUGAAAUACCACCCUUUAAUGUUUGAUGUUCUAACGUGGACCCGUGAUCCGGGUUGCGGACAGUGUCUGGUGGGUAGUUUGACUGGGGCGGUCUCCUCCUAAAGAGUAACGGAGGAGCACGAAGGUUGGCUAAUCCUGGUCGGACAUCAGGAGGUUAGUGCAAUGGCAUAAGCCAGCUUGACUGCGAGCGUGACGGCGCGAGCAGGUGCGAAAGCAGGUCAUAGUGAUCCGGUGGUUCUGAAUGGAAGGGCCAUCGCUCAACGGAUAAAAGGUACUCCGGGGAUAACAGGCUGAUACCGCCCAAGAGUUCAUAUCGACGGCGGUGUUUGGCACCUCGAUGUCGGCUCAUCACAUCCUGGGGCUGAAGUAGGUCCCAAGGGUAUGGCUGUUCGCCAUUUAAAGUGGUACGCGAGCUGGGUUUAGAACGUCGUGAGACAGUUCGGUCCCUAUCUGCCGUGGGCGCUGGAGAACUGAGGGGGGCUGCUCCUAGUACGAGAGGACCGGAGUGGACGCAUCACUGGUGUUCGGGUUGUCAUGCCAAUGGCACUGCCCGGUAGCUAAAUGCGGAAGAGAUAAGUGCUGAAAGCAUCUAAGCACGAAACUUGCCCCGAGAUGAGUUCUCCCUGACUCCUUGAGAGUCCUGAAGGAACGUUGAAGACGACGACGUUGAUAGGCCGGGUGUGUAAGCGCAGCGAUGCGUUGAGCUAACCGGUACUAAUGAACCGUGAGGCUUAACCUU